AUCUGCCCUGCACUUCGGGAUUAGCCUGGGAAACUGGGUCUAAUACCGGAUAUGACCUCCUAUCGCAUGGUGGGUGGUGGAAAGAGUUAUCGGUGCAGGAUGGGCCCGCGGCCUAUCAGCUUGUUGGUGGGGUAAUGGGCUACCAAGGCGACUACGGGUAGCCGACCUGAGAGGGUGACCGGCCACACUGGGACUGAGACACGGCCCAGACUCCUACGGGAGGCAGCAGUGGGGAAUAUUGCACAAUGGGCGAAAGCCUGAUGCAGCGACGCCGCGUGAGGGAUGACGGCCUUCGGGUUGUAAACCUCUUUCAGCAGGGACGAAGCGCAAGUGACCCUACCUGCAUAAGAAGCACCGGCUAACUACGUGCCAGCAGCCGCGGUAAUACGUAGGGUGCAAGCGUUGUCCGGAAUUACUGGGCGUAAAGAGUUCGUAGGCGGUUUGUCGCGUCGUUUGUGAAAACCAGCAGCUCAACUGCUGGCUUGCAGGCGAUACGGGCAGACUUG
rnacentral:rRNA from 1 species